GCGGCAGCGCGGGGGCAACCCUGGCGGCGAGCGGCGAACGGGUGAGUAACAUAUCGGAACGUACCCCGUCGUGGGGGAUAACACAGCGAAAACUGUGCUAAUACCGCAUACGACCUGAGGGUGAAAGCGGGGGACCGUAAGGCCUCGCGCGAUGGGAGCGGCCGAUAUCGGAUUAGCUUGUUGGUGAGGUAAAGGCUCACCAAGGCGACGAUCCGUAGCUGGUCUGAGAGGACGACCAGCCACACUGGAACUGAGACACGGUCCAGACUCCUACGGGAGGCAGCAGUGGGGAAUUUUGGACAAUGGGGGCAACCCUGAUCCAGCCAUUCCGCGUGAGUGAAGAAGGCCUUCGGGUUGUAAAGCUCUUUCAGCAGGAACGAAACGGUGGCCCCUAAUACGGGCUACUAAUGACGGUACCUGAAGAAGAAGCACCGGCUAACUACGUGCCAGCAGCCGCGGUAAUACGUAGGGUGCGAGCGUUAAUCGGAAUUACUGGGCGUAAAGCGUGCGCAGGCGGUUAUGUAAGACAGGUGUGAAAUCCCCGGGCUCAACCUGGGAACUGCGCUUGUGACUGCAUAACUCGAGUGUGGCAGAGGGGGGUGGAAUUCCACGUGUAGCAGUGAAAUGCGUAGAGAUGUGGAGGAACACCGAUGGCGAAGGCAGCCCCCUGGGUCAACACUGACGCUCAUGCACGAAAGCGUGGGGAGCAAACAGGAUUAGAUACCCUGGUAGUCCACGCCCUAAACGAUGCGAACUAGGUGUUGGGGAAGGAGACUUUCUUAGUACCGCAGCUAACGCGUG
rnacentral:rRNA from 1 species